rnacentral:misc_RNA from 1 species
GCCAAAGGCCGUAGUAAGGCUUGGAAGCUGUAGUUACUCUUCAUUCCUGUCUCCUCACCUUUCCCCCUCCCUCUCCUUUCACGGUUCACACCAUUAACACAACCCCAGCCGGCCAAACACUUCUUUACUUUUCUUUUCUACUUCUCUUGUCUUUACUCAAUCCCAGAAAAUUAAAGAAAAAGGAAAAUUGAAAGAGAAAUGACCUUAACGCCAUCAUCGCCACCACAAAAUCUCUAAUCUACUCCAAUCCCAAUCCCCAAAUUUGCCUCCCAAUUCCCCUUCUCGCACACCCCCAAAAACCCUAAAAAUUGAUAACUAAAAGGAAAUGGCCACCACUACUACCACCAGUCUAGGCGGCGGCGCUGACGAUCGGGUCUUGGCCACGGCGCAGCAGAUCGUCAAGAGCCUCAACACGACCAAGAACGUCAGGGAGGAUAUGCUUCUGAUCUUCUCCAGCUUUGAUAACCGCUUAUCCAAUAUAACCGAUUUGAUCAAAGAGGAAUCGAAUUCGCAGUCCAGAUUGGAUGUCGCUGAGAAGGUUAUUCUCCGUUGGGAUUCCGCCCGCCACUCUGCCCCAACUUGGGAUGAAGCGCCCGAAGAAGCCGCUGAAUAUCUUACUGCUGUCGACGAAAUUCUCGACUUGUUGGAUGAGUUGUCUAUCCGGUCUGAUAACGAGAUCAUUGACCGGGCCGAGACUGCUGUCCAGGUCGCUAUGUCGAGGCUCGAGGAAGAGUUUCGUCACCUCUUGAUAAGGAACACUGUUCCUCUUGAUGCGGAGCGGUUGUACGGAUCUAUAAGGCGAGUAUCGCUCUCCUUUGUAUCCAAUGAAGGGGAAAUCGGUGAGGAAUUUGAGAGUUUCGGAGAGAUUGAUAAUGAGAGCACGUGUUUUCAUGAGCGAGGAGGGAGUUUGGGUGACGAUGUAUGUGUGGAUUUGAUAAAUAGCGAGUCCGUGGAGGACCUCAAAAUGAUUGCAGAGAGGAUGAUUCGAUCAGGCUACGAAAAGGAAUGCGUUCAAGUUUAUAGUAAUGUUCGCAGAGAUGCUUUGGAUGAGUGUUUGGGGAUUUUGGGAGUUGAGAAACUGAGUAUAGAAGAGGUCCAGAAAAUUGACUGGAAAACUUUGGAUGAGAAGAUGAAGAAAUGGACACAGGCUGUUAAGAUUGGAAUCAGGGUUCUUUUGGCGGGAGAGAAGAGGCUUUGUGAUUAUAUUUUCAACGGGUCUGAUUCGGCUAAGGAGAUUUGUUUUAAUGAGACUGCAAAGGGGUGUGUGAUGCAGUUGUUAAAUUUUGGGGAGGCAGUGUCAAUUGCGAGGAAGUCCUCAGAGAAGCUGUUUAGGAUUUUGGACAUGUAUGACACAUUGGCAGAUGUUUUCCCAGAUUUGCAGUCGAUGGUUACAGAUGAGUUGGUGUGUAGUGAGGCGAAGGGAGUACUGGCUGGAUUGGCAGAUGCUGCAAAAGGGACUUUUGCAGAGUUUGAGAAUGCUGUCCAGAGCGAGACUUCCAAGAAGCCUAUGCUUAAUGGGGAGAUUCAUCCUCUUACUCGUUAUGUCAUGAAUUACGUGAAAUUGGUUGUGGAUUACAACGAUACACUGAAUUCCCUUCUGGAGAAUGAUGAGGAUGAAUCCAGUGAUUUGCGAAAUGAUGAUGUAGAGAGCACAACAACUCCUAUCGCAAGGAGAUUGCUGGGUUUAUUAUCAACUCUGGAGUCAAAUCUUGAGGAGAAAUCAAGACUGUAUGAGGAUGGUGCUAUGCACUCUAUAUUUCUGAUGAAUAAUAUUCUGUAUAUAGUGCAGAAGGUCAAGGACUCAGAACUUAUCAAGCUUGUGGGAGAUCAGUGGGUUCGCAAACGCCGGGGCCAGAUUCGCCAAUAUGCUACAGCUUAUCUUAGGGCUGCUUGGACUAAGGCCUUGUUUUGUUUGAAGGAUGAAGGGAUUGGUGGGAGCUCCAAUAAUGCCUCCAAAGUUGCUUUGAAGGACAGGUUCAAGAAUUUCAAUGCGUGCUUUGAGGACGUAUAUAGAAUUCAGACAGGUUGGAAGGUUCCAGAUCCUCAGCUUCGUGAAGAGCUUCGAAUAUCUAUUUCUGAAAAAGUUAUACCAGCUUACCGAGCAUUUUUGGGAAGGUUUGGAAGUCAGCUAGAGAGUGGAAGGCAUGCUGGAAAAUACAUUAAGUAUACAGCAGAGGAUUUAGAGAAUUAUUUACUGGAUCUGUUUGAAGGGACGCCUCUUGUUCUUCACCACAUGAGAAGAAAAAGUUCAUAGGAUACGGGAACCUUGUAACGGGUAUCUGCGGGAGUUUAGCAGGAGGUUCAUCAAAGCAUUUUUAUAUUGGUCUCUUAAGGGUCCUCUACAUGUGAGCAGAGGCUCAUCAAAGCAUUUUUUAUGGCGGUCUCUUAAUAUCUAGCUUCUUGUUGUGAAUAAUUAUCACUUUGAUUGCUAGACUUAAACUGACAUCUCAACAACAGCGUAUCUAUUUUAUGAUCUAUAUUGUUUCAGCAUGUUGGCAGACAGAAGAACCCCCCCUUGUCUCCCCAACCAAAAGAAAAGUUCAGUAAGGGAUAAUUUAAAUUAGGUAAUUCUAAAAAUGUUUUGUUUCACGAUAUGAUGAAGCCUCAAAUAAAUGAAAUGUGAGUCUACGCAUCAUUUAAUAAUUUCAUUAUAUUUUCUUGAGUGACAGAGGUUAAUCCAUUAACAAGCUGAAACUUACUCUUGCUAGAGUUGAUUGCUGAUUGACAAAUGAAAAGGCAAGUACUCUUCCUGGAGUUUGUAUUGUAUGCUAAUUGACUGAUUAGAUCUCAUAUAUUUUUACCAUCAAUGGUGUGCAAGUUUGAUCAUUUUUAGCGUAU